rnacentral:rRNA from 1 species
UACGUAGGGGGCAAGCGUUGUCCGGAUUCAUUGGGCGUAAAGGGCGCGUAGGCGGCUUGAUAAGGUUGCGGUGAAAGCCCGGGGCUCAACCCCGGGUCGGCCGUGGCAACUGUCGAGCUGGAGCACUGUAGAGGCAGGUGGAAUUCCGGGUGUAGCGGUGGAAUGCGUAGAGAUCCGGAAGAACACCGGUGGCGAAGGCGGCCUGCUGGGCAGUGGCUGACGCUGAGGCGCGACAGCGUGGGGAGCAAACAGG